AGGAACCAGCCAGAUACGUUGGAACCAGCCAAAUACGUUAGCACCAGCAGGAGCGAACUCCAUGCAGGCCCUGUGGCAGCAUCCAGGUGUGGGUGCCUGCAACUCCCGAAGCCCCAGAGGGAGUGUUACAGUGCUCUUCUAGCUCUGCCAUCCACCGACGGCUUAAGUGUUAACAGCUCAGUGGACCCUUUGUCUUUUUCACUGAGAUGGCUGCCCUCUGCCAGUGAGGGCAAAAGGCCAGUGCAACAGGUUUUUGUAUCUGCAUUCAUGGCCCCUGAGCUCUUGUCCAGCAUCCAGGAAAAAUGAGGUUGCACAAACAAAUUGAAGGAUGAAAGCCAAAAAGAAGAGAUAGGGAGGAAGUGACAUGGUGCCUUAUGAAAGUUUGGUUAUGAAAAACCUUCUAGAGAAUUAACUUUGAGUCAACAUUCCCUACUCCUGUUGUUUUGAGAAGAGCCUAUUCUCUUCUUGAAAAAUAUGACAAGAAAAUCACGAAUACGUUCCAGUGCAGAAUAUUACUGGGGUCAAAAAGGACUGAAAAAAUUGACUUUCUGCAAGAAUCUGCAAAGGGAAAAACAUAAUGCCUUCCCAGUGGAGAUAUUUUCAAUCUUUGAAGGAGAAUUGGAAAAGUCUAAAGAAAUGUGACCCUUGUGAGGCCAGAAAGGUAAGGGGAUUAAUCUGUUCAGUAGUAAAUGGAUGCCUUCUGAGAGCCAAGAAUUUUAGCCAAUGGGUUCAUUUUCCAGUUUUAAUGAUGAAAUACAGAUACAGUGAUUGAAGCCACCUUGUGACAUUUUGGGAGCCAACAUCAUUUUUCUUCUCAGAAAGAAAGAAAUACCUAUGCUACUGCUACUCUGCCCACUCCUGCCCCCCACCCUGGAUUCACCAACUUCUCACAGCUGCUAGAGGGUCUCAGGUUGCUGAAUUAAUACACCAAAAGUCACAGUUUGAAUCGAAAAUGAACUGCUCUAUUGAAUACAUCCAUCAUGGCUGAAAAUAUCUUUGGAGUUCACAAGUUACAAAAACACCCCUGUCUCAAACCAUUGUACUACACAUGAAUCAUCUUGUGUAAUCUUGUCGUUUUUGCUUGGAUAUUUUCUAACUCAAUUGGCAGAACAAGGAAAGACAGUGCAUUUGAAGAAUUGUAUACAUAGAACCAUACGAAAGCCCCAAAUGACAUAUGCAAUAGUGCUAUUCUAAAUAAAAGACCAAAGCUGA